UCAAGGAAUUCAUUGCUUAUAUCAUCGUCUUUAUUUUUUUAAAAAAACCUUGCAACUUCGAACUAUAUAAUUCACAUCUAUCGGGUCCUGGUACUUCUGAACUCCCUCACCGUAGCCGACCCCCGCGAUUGUGAAAGACCGCCGCCCUGCUCGUCGUGUUCCGUCGUGGCCACCUUGGUUCGUCGGAGCUUUUCGUCGUGCCCAUCGGUUUGAUCAGUUUAGUUCUUCGAUCAGGAUCAGCCGCUACUCAGACCGUUGCAGCCGCACUCCGUCUUCGAUCGAGCCCCGUCGUCACGUUACUCCACCGUGUUCAGGCCAGAGCCGUUGCUACUGCUCGACUCGUUUCGUUUGAUCACCUGGAGCUCUAGUUUCUUUUUCUUUUUGUCUCCGGUUAGCUCCGUUUGCGUUUAAGGCGUUUGUGACUGUAGAGGAAAACUUGAUUAUUGGUUUUGCUUGUGUGCUAAUAAGUUAUGAUAUGUAAUUUGGGAAUCAUGGGGAAUAAGUGAAGAGUGUCGUGAAGAUAAAGAUUUUUUUUUUCGGUGAUGUAAUGAAAAUGUGUCACACCCCAACCGAUGGCGGAAUCAUCGGGGCGCGGCACUGAGCGAAACAGAUUGUCCAGAAGUUUCCACAACAACUAUUAUUACAAAUUCAGUUAAAUGAUACGUCCCAUACCGUAUCC
rnacentral:lncRNA from 1 species